rnacentral:rRNA from 1 species
GAUGAACGCUGGCGGCGUGCCUAAUACAUGCAAGUCGAGCGAACAGAUGAGGAGCUUGCUCCUCUGACGUUAGCGGCGGACGGGUGAGUAACACGUGGAUAACCUACCUAUAAGACUGGGAUAACUUCGGGAAACCGGGGCUAAUACCGGAUAAUAUAUUGAACCGCAUGGUUCAAUAGUGAAAGACGGUUUUGCUGUCACUUAUAGAUGGAUCCGCGCCGCAUUAGCUAGUUGGUAAGGUAACGGCUUACCAAGGCAACGAUGCGUAGCCGACCUGAGAGGGUGAUCGGCCACACUGGAACUGAGACACGGUCCAGACUCCUACGGGAGGCAGCAGUAGGGAAUCUUCCGCAAUGGGCGAAAGCCUGACGGAGCAACGCCGCGUGGGUGAUGAAGGUCUUCGGAUCGUAAAACUCUGUUAUUAGGGAAGAACAAAUGUGUAAGUAACUAUGCACGUCUUGACGGUACCUAAUCAGAAGACCACGGCUAACUACGU